GUCUAUGGCCAUGCCACCCUGAACAAGUACGAUCCCGUUUGAUCUCAGAAGCUAAGCCGGGUCGGGCCUGGUUAGUACUUGAAUGGGAGACCACCAAGGAAGACCAGGUGCUGUAGGUG
rnacentral:rRNA from 1 species